GAUAGUUCCAGGUAUACAGGUGCCUGCCACAGAAGGCAGGUGAAAAGGGAAACGGGUGAGAAUCCCGUACAAAGCCGUUGCUGUAUUGGCGUAGUGACUGCAAAAAAUAUCAUUGAGGCAAAAACUUGAGAAGAUAAGCAGUCAUGAGGAUGCCUGAGUCAGAAGACCUGCCUGUAUAUAACACACGUGA
rnacentral:ncRNA from 23 species